rnacentral:rRNA from 1 species
AUACGUAGGUGACAAGCGUUAUCCGGCUUUACUGGGCGUAAAGGGCGUGUAGGCGGUCUUGCAAGUCAGAAGUGAAAUUCCUGAGCUCAACUCGGGCGCUGCUUCUGAAACUGCAGGACUUGAGUGCUGGAGGGGAUAGCGGAAUUCCUAGUGGAGCGGUAAAAUGCGCAGAUAUUAGGAAGAACACCGGUGGCGAAGGCGGCUAUCUGGACAGUAACUGACGCUGAGGCGCGAAAGCGUGGGGAGCAAACAGGAUUAGAUACCCUGGUAGUCCACGCCGUAAACGAUGAGUACUGGGUGUAGGGGGUAUCGACUCCCUCUGUGCCGCAGUUGACACAAUAAGUAUUCCGCCUGGGGAGUACGGCCGCAAGGUUGAAACUCAAAUGAAUAGGCGGGG